GAGGGUAUAGCUCAGUGGUAGAGUGAAUGCUCAGCAUGCACAAGGUCCUGGGUUCAUUCCUCAGUACCUCCA
rnacentral:tRNA from 1 species